AUCUAUCUAUGCAUCUAGGCAUCUGCCUGUUUAUGUAUGUAUACAUGAAUGUGUCUUUUUAUGUGUCUGUGUCUCUCUGGAUAUAGCCUAUCUGUCCAUCCACCCGGCCAUCCAUUCAUCUUGUGAGCACUUAUUGUUAUUAUUGGUGAGGAGACAAAACCAACAUCCUGAACCUACUCCUUCCCUCUUCCCGCCUCUUUCCCCUCCCCCACCCUCUUGAGUUUUCUCUUUUCUGCUUUAAUAUUGCUGCUCUGAACAGAUAUAUUGCAAAAGAUGUACAUUUCAGGUCAGCUGGGUUGAUGAAGGGAAGGACAGGAUUCCUGGGAGGGUCCUGAAACUCCCCUGGAAAAAUCACACACACACAUACAACACACACACACGUGUGUGUGUGUGUGCCUGAACAUGUUCAAGGACAGAAGAUUUUUCAAAGAAGCCAAGGAUCCCAAAGAGUCUUUCCUGAGCCCUGCUUAAGGCUGAAGGCCAAGACUGAUGGUUGGGGUCCUCCCCAUCCUGCCCACUGUGCCUUUCUUUCCUCCCUCCCUUUCUCGAUCAUCCAUUUGGCCCUACUUCCCACAGGCUGCUCCCCCUCAGCUCUGCACUUCCUCCUGUGUGCUUUGCUUCACCCAUGUGGGCCCCUCAGGGCCGGGAUGGAGAUGCGUGUGGUCCGAGGUUGGCAGGAGACCAGUAUUCGCAUGACAUGAAAGCACACGGGACCGACAGCCUCCUUCAGCCCUGUGCAGGAGCAGCUGAUGUUGCGCCAAGUCUGCCGCCUGGGGAGGUGGCUUCUGUCCAGCAGACUGCACUCCCCAGACAAGCAGACCCCUAGGUGUGAAGACACAGCCCCCGGGAAGGCUGGGUGCACAGCCUUUGGGGCCGCACCUGCUUGGUCACCGAGGUGAGCUCCGUUCAUUGGGAAGGGAGACUCAGCUGCUCCUGAGCCUCAUCCGGGUCACAGAGCUCCGAGCUAGGUAGACUCUAGGAAGAAUUUCUCAUUUAUUUGCCAAAUCCAGUUUCUGAAAUUCUUCCUCAUUACUUGUCACACUGAAGUUUGGCAACAACAAACUCAGAGCAAGCAAAAAGCAGUAUGCCUCGUUUCACUGAUCGGAAACAAGACAAAGGGGUCAGGCUGGAGGGUGCUCCCGUCCCUGCUCGGCCUGGGGCUGCAGCUGUUGGCCAUGUUGCUCACCCUCCCUUCGCCUCCCCUUGCUCAACUGAGAAUAAAGAGAGCCGGGCACCAGUGUCAUUGUGCGACAGAGUUUGAGUGGACCCACAGUGUCAGUAAACUCACCCUUGAGUCUUUUGUCACCUGCAUCUUAGGACUGAGCAGGUGCGGAAUCCUAAACCUCCUGACCUUUUGGCCAAGAGGGGCCAUGCAGUAUGGGGGCAGCCACCAACUUCGGACGUUAGAAGAAGCCGAUGGAGCACCUUCUGCCUGCGUGACAAGUGUGUCCCCCGUGGAAGGGGAACAGGACGUGACAGCACUGUGACUGGAUGGCAAUGUGUCUUUCCUGCUGGAUGGGGGAGCAGCGUGAGGACCCAGAAAGAGUGGCAGAUUUGGAUCUGUGCUUUGUACACUGCCGCCGGGUCUGGAUUCCGAGGACCCCUUCCAGCGGGGUGGCCGUAUCAGCCUUUGCUUCUUCACGUGUGACCUAGGAGCUGAGGCCCACUCUACCCCUUCCUGUGGGCCCUUGAAGGGAUCAUUCUGAAUGCUGGGGCUUUGAGAAAUGAGUGGAACCCCUGAAUUUGAAUCGGCCCUUGGCCUCCAGCAUCCUUAGCCCUCGACAGACAGUGCACUGUGAUCUGUAGCUCCACCCAGUUAGAUGCUGUGUGUCACCUCCAGCUCCAUGAAGCAGCUCCUGGGCAGGCUACGGGAGUCGGCAGCCCCCUGCCCCACUGGCCCGGCCUUACCAGCAGCUGCGGAGAUGGCGCGCCGAGGUCAAGUGAGGUCAAGUGAUCUCCCACGGCCGGGUGUCUCUGCCUGCGCUCGGCACUGUCCCUUGGCUGUGGGUUCAGUGGGCUAUGAGAGACCAGGUUCUCCUCUGCUUUCCUCCCUGCCUUAUUUCUUCCCUCCUUCCAUCCCUUUUCCUGCUGCCACCUCUUCCUCCUUCCUUUCCUACCAUUCCGACCACACCCACUACCCAAACAAAUCUUUUUUGUUUCUUUUCGACUUCUGUGACAUUUCUGUAACAUCUGACACCAUUAUCCCUCUUUCCUUAGCAUUUUAUAAAUUACGUGGUCCUUGCUUUUAAAAAUCCUUCCUAUCGACCGCUAGAAAAAUGCAAAUCAAAACAACACUGAGAUUCCAUCUUACUGCAGUGAACACUCAUCACGAACAACGAAACAAGACAAGACAAACAACAAAUGCUGGUGAGGUUGUGGGGAAAGGAAUGCUUCCAUAUUGUUGCUGGGAAUUUAAACUACUACAGCCACUAUGGAAAUCAGUGUGAAAAUUCCUCAAAAAAUUAAAAAUAGAUAUCCCAUUUGACCCAGCCAUACCUCUCCUGGAUAUUUUCCUGAAGAUUUAAAGAUAUCCUAUGGGAGUGAUCCAUGUACACCCCUGUUUAUGGCAUUGUAGAAGUAUACAAAAGGCCUCUGAACAAGUGAACAGAUGAGGAAAUCAUGGUAUUUAUUCACUAAGGAGCACUACUCAGCUAUAAGGAAGGAUUAAUUGGAGACAUUUGUAGGAAAAUGGCUGGAUCUUGAGAUCAUAAUGCUAAAUGAAAAAAAAAGACAUAGAAGGUUUAAUGUUGCAUGGUUUCUCUUAUAUGAGAAAGCCAGCAUUAAAUAAUUAACAGGGCAAGAUGCAAGGGAGAUGGAAGGUAACAGGGAGGCGGACUGUGGGGAUGGGAAGAGGGUCAGGAGUGCAGAAGGGGACAGGAUGGCCAGGAUGAAGGGGGAGCAAGUGACCAAGAUGCUGAAUCUGUGUGUGCUAACUCACCCAGGUGACUGCAGUUAUUAUGCAUAUCCUAAAGCACAUACUGGAAAUCAAGCAAUCCUGUCUCUGGAUCUUCCUGGCCUUAUUCCACCAUUUCAGAAGUCAGAGGUGGCGUGGCCACCUUUUUCUGUUUGGUCCACCUUUAACCCCUUUAUCCCCUGGGCAGUUCCUGUACUGCUGACCCCUCCGCCCGCAGCUGGACGGAGAAGCCGGUUCCUGGUCCCAUCCGCUGCAGAGUGGUGAGGCUCUGUGCACCCUGCGAGGCAGUGAUGAGAGGUGUGCUGGCCAAGGGGACAGGAGGUGACCCCUCUGCCCUGGGGGGCCUGCGGGACGAGGCCUCACCCGCCUCAGAGGAGCCUCUGGGAGCCAGGGCGCCGGGGUGGAAGCACCUUCUAUUCUGGGCCGCGGAAUGGAGGAUUUAUUGCUCUCUCUGAGACGGCUGGAGGCAGGCGGGGUGCCUUGCUGGCUGGCCCCUGGGGCUGGCGGCACGGGUGCUGCUGUCACUCCGGUCCAGCGCUGACCCCAGCCAGGGAGUGGCUCCGCAGCACCCGGAGCAGCCGCAGCUGACCCCGACUUAAUGGGCCCACGAUGUGGGUGUUCAGGGCUGGCUCUCCGGCGGGCUGCUUCCUUUGGAGCACAAUCAAUAUUUAUUAAAGAUCCGGCCCCCGGGAGAUGGUGGCUGCACAGAGGCCCUCUGUUGAGCCAGCCGGCCGGUCAUUCAUUAACCAAGCCCGGCAGCCUGCCCACCGCGAGGUAUAUGGCAAGGUCAUUAAUGAGCUAAUCUGAUUUAACUCUUCCAAACAGAGGCCCGGGUCACGGGGUCACUCUCUCUUCCCAGCAUUGUGCGACCCAGCAGGGGCUGGGGCGAGAGGACCCGCAACCUUCACUCCAGAAGAGAGAAAAGGUUAUGCGGAGGAGCAGGCAGGUGCUAGGAAGCUGCGCCCCUGGGCUGGGGAGGAGGCUGGGGAGGACAGCACCAUCCUCACCAUGUCCUUCAAGCCCCUCUAGCUCCUGCUGUCGCCUCCUGAGAGGACAGGGUCAGCAUAGCCUGGGCUGACCUGCAUGGGUGCAGGAUUCCAAUCUCAGCUCCACCAACUUGGGGGUGUAGAGUAAGUCCCUUCAUCUCCGUGCCUCAGUUUACCCAUCAGGGAACCAGAACACUGGUGCCCACCUGCCAGGAGCUUCGAGAUUCAAAAGAGGCAGUGGAAGUAAAGCUUUUAGCUCUGUAGCUGGUGUACAGGAAGCUCUUAAACAUACAUAAUGUCAGAAGGAAAAAGCUGAGUCAGGUCCUAGUGUCCUUAGCCUGUUGGUCCCUUAAGAACCCACUCUGACCCCCAGGACUUCUUCUCCUGUCCUUCAGCCCGGGCCCUACUCCAAGGCGAGCAUCUGCCGGUCCUUCCGUCCAUCUGCCUGGGUCCUCUUCUACCCCAAAGUACAGAGGCUGCCCCAAGGGCCUUGGCUUCGAGGGCUGCUGCCUGCCACCCUUCCAGAAUGACGGUCCCCUUUGCUACAGCACUGAGUUCCCCAGUGAUGGGAAAGAUCGCCUGGAUGCAGUGCACGCUGGGGAUAAAGACACCAAGGCGCUGAGAGAUGAAACACGAGCACGCGCUCGGCUACACAGGCAGGUGAGGGACCCACAUUCUAGCUCUGGGGGACACUUUCUGCUCUCUUUUCCGCGCAAUGAUGAACAAGGCAGACCAGGGAAUUACGCAUGUGUGUGUACGUUUGCAUGGUUAUCUGCUGUAUAAUGAGCUUAAGUCAGCAACGGGCCAGCUCCGAGACGUGGUCGUAUAGGUCAGGCUGCUGCGGCCGACUUGUUUGUGUAUUACCCCCCUGAUGUUCCUGCCAGGACAAAACUCCCUAACAGAGCACAUCUGUGUUCAGCAAUGCCUGACUGAGUAGAUUACAGGUCUAACAUCUCCUGCGGCUUACAGGUGAAUAACAGCUACUAUGUGCCUAAACCAUCCUCAGCAGAUCACAGCUAUUAGCUCAGUUAGGUUCUUACCAUUUACUACUCUGCAGUGCCAUUGUCACCACUCUGCAGACAGGAAGACUGACACCCAGUAACUUGUCUUUGUGCUGCAGAUAGUGAGGGCAGACACAGGAUUGAAGCCCAGCCCAUCUGGCUCUGUGGCCAGGCUCUUCAUCACUGCUAGCCAGGCUUCCCUGAGAUAAAUGGGAACCAGCUGUGGGUUAGGGACAGAGCCUGGCUUCCCCAGAAUGCCCUGAGCUAUGGCUAUUAGGGUCAAGUUUAGAGACACAAACUAUCAUGUAAAAUAGCAUCCCUGGACUGAGAUUAAAGAGGCAACCAGAUAGCCUUUUCUUCAACCAGAUGAAGAAAAGGGAGGCCUUGUCCUGCACUGGAAAGGGUGUAAACUGGUGCAGCCAUUAUGGAAAACAAUAGAGAGCCUCCUCUUAAAGAGCUACCAUAUAGUCCAGCUGUCCUACUUCUGGGAACAUACCUACAGGAAAUGAAAUCUGUAUUUCAGGAGCUUUCUGAAUUCCCACAUCUAUUGCAGCAUUAUUCACAGUAGCCAGGAUAUAGCAACAACUUAAGGCUCUGUACUUCUGGGUGAAUGGAUAAAGAAAAUAUGGUAUAUAAUGGAGUAUUUAUUAUUCAUUCAUCAAGAAGAAGGAAAGCCUGCCAUUUAGGAUUGUAUAAAUGAACCCUGGAGGCAUUAUGCUAAGUGAGCUAAGUCAGAUCCAGAAAGACAAAUACUGCAUGAUCUUACUUAUGUCUGGAAUCUGAAAGUCAAACUCAUAGAAGUAGACAGUUGGAUGGGGGCUGCCACGUGCUGGGAGAAGAGAGAAAUGGGGAGUUGCUGAUAAAGGUUACAAGAUGAAUAACUUCCUAGGGCCUAACACAGAGCAUAGCAUCAGCAACUUAAUAAUAAUUAAAUUGUUGAGAUAGAGCUGAAGUGUCCUCAACACACACGCACGCACGCACGCAAAAUGGUAACCACACGACAUAAUGGGUAUGUUCGUGAACUUCAUUGUGGGAACUAUUCCACGUUAUAUGGAAAAUCGUUACAUUGUACAUCUUAAAUGUAUGCUUUUUUAUUUGUUAAUUAUACAGAAAUGGAAAAA